GAAGGGGAGGAGAGUGGGAGGAGGUGCGGGUGGGAGUCCCGCAGAAGGAGCUUUUCAAUCCCAACAUGAAUUCCACCCGCAGUCUCUGACCGACAACACACGAGCCAUAUAGGCAGACAUCACGGCGCCUCGCGCAAGCGGAUACUUUCUGAAGUCUUUCCCAUCAGCGUUUGCUUGUUUUCCACGGAUGCCCUUAACGUCUUCCUCGUGACUUCAGCAUCGCCGCGGAACGGGAUGAGGCGGUAAAUGUCGCGUUUCGCAUCGUUUCGCUCCGGUUGAAGCCGCAGGAGUAUGUGAUCAUGUUGGCGACGCGCUGCCUCCUCCUGUGGGCUGCGGUCACCGCGCGACUCGCCGUGACAGGCUGGGGCAGCAGCAUCAAGCGGGACGGAGCGGAACGGGGACGCGAACAGAACGCGUAUUUGGAGGAGCUCACGCAGCCUCAGCGGCUGCUGCAGCGGACUGACGCGGAGGAGGAGCUGCCGCACGGACACUUGGGUACUCUAGUAAAGAUUGAUGCUGAUGGAGCGCAUCCCAUUCAUUUGGCUCAGAUCUCAUUCCUGGUGACGGCUUUUGGAAUCCCAUUUGUUCUAGACCUGGAGCUCAAUCAGUAUGUUCAAAAUCCCACUCACUGUA
rnacentral:lncRNA from 1 species